GUGAGGAAUAUUGGUCAAUGGGCGAAAGCCUGAACCAGCCAUGUCGCGUGAAGGAUGAAGGUCCUAUGGAUUGUAAACUUCUUUUGCAGGGGAAUAAAGUACGGUACGUGUACCGUUUUGUAUGUACUCUGCGAAUAAGGAUCGGCUAACUCCGUGCCAGCAGCCGCGGUAAUACGGAGGAUCCAAGCGUUAUCCGGAUUUAUUGGGUUUAAAGGGUGCGCAGGCGGGUUGAUAAGUCAGCGGUGAAAGUUUGCAGCUUAACUGUAAAAUUGCCGUUGAAACUGUCGAUCUUGAGUGCAAAUGAGGUAAGCGGAAUGUGUUGUGUAGCGGUGAAAUGCUUAGAUAUAACACAGAACACCGAUUGCGAAGGCAGCUUACUGGGAUGCAACUGACGCUCAUGCACGAAAGCGUGGGGAUCAAACAGGAUUAGAAACCCUGGUAGUCC
rnacentral:rRNA from 1 species